GACGAACGCUGGCGGCGUGCUUAACACAUGCAAGUCGAACGGAAAGGCCCUGCUUUUGUGGGGUGCUCGAGUGGCGAACGGGUGAGUAACACGUGAGUAACCUGCCCCUGACUUUGGGAUAACUUCAGGAAACUGGGGCUAAUACCGGAUAGGAGCUCCUGCUGCAUGGUGGGGGUUGGAAAGUUUCGGCGGUUGGGGAUGGACUCGCGGCUUAUCAGCUUGUUGGUGGGGUAGUGGCUUACCAAGGCUUUGACGGGUAGCCAGCCUGAGAGGGUGACCGGCCACAUUGGGACUGAGAUACGGCCCAGACUCCUACGGGAGGCAGCAGUGGGGAAUAUUGCACAAUGGGCGGAAGCCUGAUGCAGCAACGCCGCGUGCGGGAUGACGGCCUUCGGGUUGUAAACCGCUUUCGCCUGUGACGAAGCGUGAGUGACGGUAAUGGGUAAAGAAGCACCGGCUAACUACGUG
rnacentral:rRNA from 1 species